AUUGAACGCUGGCGGCAUGCCUUACACAUGCAAGUCGAACGGCAGCACGGGAGCAAUCCUGGUGGCGAGUGGCGAACGGGUGAGUAAUAUAUCGGAACGUGCCCAGUCGUGGGGGAUAACGUAGCGAAAGCUACGCUAAUACCGCAUACGAUCUAAGGAUGAAAGCGGGGGAUCGCAAGACCUCGCGCGAUUGGAGCGGCUGAUAUCAGAUUAGGUUGUUGGUGAGGUAAAAGCUCACCAAGCCGACGAUCUGUAGCUGGUUUGAGAGGACGACCAGCCACACUGGAACUGAGACACGGUCCAGACUCCUACGGGAGGCAGCAGUGGGGAAUUUUGGACAAUGGACGCAAGUCUGAUCCAGCCAUUCCGCGUGCAGGAUGAAGGCCCUCGGGUUGUAAACUGCUUUGUACGGAACGAAAAGGUUUCUAUUAAUACUAGGAGCUCAUGACGGUACCGUAAGAAUAAGCACCGGCUAACUACGUG
rnacentral:rRNA from 1 species